CCUACGAGGGGCUGCAGUGGGGAAUAUUGGACAAUGGGGGGAACCCUGAUCCAGCCAUGCCGCGUGUGUGAAGAAGGCCCUCGGGUUGUAAAGCACUUUCAGUGAGGAAGAACGCCUGGUGGUUAAUACCCAUCAGGAAAGACAUCACUCACAGAAGAAGCACCGGCUAACUCCGUGCCAGCAGCCGCGGUAAUACGGAGGGUGCGAGCGUUAAUCGGAAUUACUGGGCGUAAAGCGCGCGUAGGUGGCUUGAUAAGCCGGUUGUGAAAGCCCCGGGCUCAACCUGGGAACGGCAUCCGGAACUGUCAAGCUAGAGUGCAGGAGAGGAAGGUAGAAUUCCCGGUGUAGCGGUGAAAUGCGUAGAGAUCGGGAGGAAUACCAGUGGCGAAGGCGGCCUUCUGGACUGACACUGACACUGAGGUGCGAAAGCGUGGGUAGCAAACAGGAUUAGAUACCCUAGUAGUC
rnacentral:rRNA from 1 species